rnacentral:lncRNA from 1 species
UCCAUAGUACAGUGACAAAUGAUAACAGGCCGGCGCAUGUGCAUAUUGUAUUUCACCAUUGUCCUAUUACCUCGUCAUUGUACAAUCCUCCUUAUCUAGCCAUAUUAAUUCAUCCCUCACGACCCAGACCAUGUUAUGGUCCUAUCUCUAGUCUAAUAGUAUUGUAUUUCACCAUUUUCCUAUUACAUACUGAACCACCUUCGUGCAUUGAAACAGUUGUUCUAAGCUUUAUUAACUCGCACACUCUCAUUGUUAGCAAUUUUAGUAACGAGGUGAUGGUUUAACCUGUUGUUUCUUGCAGGACGUAUUGUG